GUAUUGCUAAGUGGGAAACGAUGUGGGAAGGCUCAGACAGCUAGGAUGUUGGCUUAGAAGCAGCCAUCAUUUAAAGAAAGCGUAAUAGCUCACUAGUCGAGUCGGCCUGCGCGGAAGAUGUAACGGGGCUAAGCAAUACACCGAAGCUGCGGCAAUAUCUUUUAGAUAUUGGGUAGGGGAGCGUUCUGUAAGCCGUUGAAGGUGAAUCGUAAGGUUUGCUGGAGGUAUCAGAAGUGCGAAUGCUGACAUGAGUAACGACAAAGGGGGUGAAAAACCUCCUCGCCGGAAGACCAAGGGUUCCUGUCCAACGUUAAUCGGGGCAGGGUGAGUCGACCCCUAAGGUGAGGCCGAAAGGCGUAAUCGAUGGGAAACGGGUUAAUAUUCCCGUACUUCUGACUAUUGCGAUGGGGGGACGGAGAAGGCUAGGUGGGCCAGGCGACGGUUGUCCUGGUUCAAGUGCGUAGGCUUGAGAGUUAGGUAAAUCCGGCUCUCUCUAAGGCUGAGACACGACGUCGAGCUGCUACGGCAGUGAAGUCAUUGAUGCCAUGCUUCCAGGAAAAGCCUCUAAGCUUCAGAUAGUCA
rnacentral:rRNA from 1 species